AAGCUCACUUUGGCAGCAUAUAUACUAAAAUUGGAAUAAUACAGAGAAGUUUAGCAUGGCUUCUGCACGAGUUUUUAAUUUUAAUUUAAUUUU
rnacentral:snRNA from 1 species